rnacentral:tRNA from 1 species
AAGAGAAGACGACCUAACAAAAACUGCUAAUAAUUGUAAUUAUGGUUAAACUCCAUAAUUCUCUUA